GAUUAUGGCUCAGGACGAACGCUGGCGGCGUGCCUAAUACAUGCAAGUCGAGCGAAGAUCUGGGAGCUUGCUCCCAGAUCUUAGCGGCGGACGGGUGAGUAACACGUGGGCAACCUGCCCUGCAGACUGGGAUAACUCCGGGAAACCGGAGCUAAUACCGGGUAAUACAUCGCACCGCAUGGUGCAAUGUUGAAAGUUGGCUUUCUGAGCUAACACUGCAGGAUGGGCCCGCGGCGCAUUAGCUAGUUGGUAAGGUAAUGGCUUACCAAGGCGACGAUGCGUAGCCGACCUGAGAGGGUGAUCGGUCACACUGGGACUGAGACACGGCCCAGACUCCUACGGGAGGCAGCAGUAGGGAAUCUUCCGCAAUGGACGAAAGUCUGACGGAGCAACGCCGCGUGAGUGACGAAGGCCUUCGGGUCGUAAAGCUCUGUUGUUAGGGAAGAACAAGUACCGUUCGAAUAGGGCGGUACCUUGACGGUACCUAACCAGAAAGCCACGGCUAACUACGUGCCAGCAGCCGCGGUAAUACGUAGGUGGCAAGCGUUGUCCGGAAUUAUUGGGCGUAAAGCGCGCGCAGGCGGUCUUUUAAGUCUGACGUGAAAGCCCACGGCUCAACCGUGGAGGGUCAUUGGAAACUGGAGGACUUGAGUGCAGAAGAGGAGAGUGGAAUUCCACGUGUAGCGGUGAAAUGCGUAGAUAUGUGGAGGAACACCAGUGGCGAAGGCGGCUCUCUGGUCUGUAACUGACGCUGAGGCGCGAAAGCGUGGGGAGCAGACAGGAUUAGAUACCCUGGUAGUCCACGCCGUAAACGAUGAGUGCUAGGUGUUGGGGGGUUCCACCCUCAGUGCUGAAGUUAACACAUUAAGCACUCCGCCUGGGGAGUACGACCGCAAGGUUGAAACUCAAAGGAAUUUGACGGGGGCCCGCACAAGCAGUGGAGCAUGGUGGUUUAAUUCGAAGCAACGCGAG
rnacentral:rRNA from 1 species